rnacentral:rRNA from 1 species
UACAGAGGGUGCGAGCGUUAAUCGGAAUUACUGGGCGUAAAGCGUGCGUAGACGGUCAAGUAAGUCGGGUGUGAAAGCCCCGGGCUCAACCUGGGAAUUGCAUUCGAGACUGCGUGGCUAGGGUGCGGAAGAGGGAAGCGGAAUUUCCGGUGUAGCGGUGAAAUGCGUAGAUAUCGGAAGGAACACCAGUGGCGAAAGCGGCUUCCUGGUCUGCAACUGACGCUGUGGCGCGAAAGCUAGGGGAGCAAACGGG